CGUUGAUCCUGCCCGGAGGCCACUGCUAUGGGGGUCCGACUAAGCCAUGCGAGUCAUGGGGCGCGCUCUGCGCGCACCGGCGGACGGCUCAGUAACACGUCGGUAACCUACCCUCGGGAGGGGGAUAACCCCGGGAAACUGGGGCUAAUCCCCCAUAGGCCUGAGGUACUGGAAGGUCCUCAGGCCGAAAGGGGCAUCUGCCCGCCCGAGGAUGGGCCGGCGGCCGAUUAGGUAGUUGGUGGGGUAACGGCCCACCAAGCCGAAGAUCGGUACGGGCCAUGAGAGUGGGAGCCCGGAGAUGGACACUGAGACACGGGUCCAGGCCCUACGGGGCGCAGCAGGCGCGAAACCUCCGCAAUGCGGGCAACCGCGACGGGGGGACCCCCAGUGCCGUGGCAUCGCCACGGCUUUUCCGGAGUGUAAAAAGCUCCGGGAAUAAGGGCUGGGCAAGGCCGGUGGCAGCCGCCGCGGUAAUACCGGCGGCCCGAGUGGUGGCCGCUAUUAUUGGGCCUAAAGCGUCCGUAGCCGGGCCCGUAAGUCCCUGGCGAAAUCCCACGGCUCAACCGUGGGGCUUGCUGGGGAUACUGCGGGCCUUGGGACCGGGAGAGGCCGGGGGUACCCCUGGGGUAGGGGUGAAAUCCUAUAAUCCCAGGGGGACCGCCAGUGGCGAAGGCGCCCGGCUGGAACGGGUCCGACGGUGAGGG
rnacentral:rRNA from 1 species